AUGCACAACGGCAUGCCUUGUGUGUGCUGCAGGACUCAGGGUGCCCCACCCCCCGUACAUAAAGAACACGUCCCGGCUUCCUAUAAAGACUCAUGGUAAACACAGUGUACUAUCCAUCGAGACGCAGGUUGACCAGGUUUACCCCCCAAAAACACAAACCACAGAGCGGCUGCAGGUCUUGAGAGCCACCCAUCUCUUCUCCGUUUCAAUCCACACCACAGCACACCACCAACAGACAUGAUCAUCAGGCUGGGCAGGCUGACACCUGGAUACUUUCGCCUCCUCCAGAGGCAAGUUGCCGGUGAGGUGCAGACGCAGCCACAGGACCGUGCCGUCAACCAGAUAGCCAUGAUGCUGGCCAUCAUGGGCCUGAGUUUGUCCUACUACAGUGCCAAACAGAUGACUGAGAAGGUCCAGGCCCGGCCGGCGCCUUGAAGAGACUUGACCGCUCCGAUCUGUGGAGAUAAUGGAUGAGCCAAUAAGAAGUGAAGGAGGUGGAGGCUGAAGCAAGGACACGAUUGGUGUCUUACAGAACCGCACUUUUCUCACCUCACAAUCAUAGCCGCACUCUGAAUUUCUGGGAUCCCUCUCUUCACCAUGAGAUUUCAGAGCUGCCGUUAAGUGUUUUCUAUACAUUAUGUUGUCGGGACCUCGAGGGGUUUGUGGGGACAGCUCACUCUGGGUCGUGGAUAAGACUGGUUUAGGUGGGCGGAUUUAAAAUACCAGCCGACUGGUAACUGGGCCUGGUCAUUAGUCAAUACAAGGGCACAUGCUUGCAAGAUGCUGUCGUUACUGUUCUGAGCUACAAGAAACUCUUACAUAACUGUGAAUUUUGCCAGUGGUCAAAGCUUGUCCAAAUAGGGUUAAAUAGUAUGAACGGUAAUGCUGACUGCAAUUGAGAUGUGCCUUGUAAUGAAGUGAUGGCAGGCCCAGAACAUGGUUAAAGGGGAUAAAAUGUUAGCUCAACCCUUUUUAGACUUUCUGUUUUUUGUUUUUUCCUUCACGAGAACCUUGCAAAGCGCUGUGAACUGAUAUAUACUUGUGAAAUGUAUCUGUCAGGCGCACAAAAGUCCAGAAAUGUUUUUAAAAUGGGUCUGCAAAGGGACUUAAAACUACUCACAACCUUUUCUUUUUUUAUUUUCUUCUGUUAUUUCACUGUUUUAACAAAUCUAUGAAGUCCUGUUAAUAAGAUGUGUGACUACGUUAAAUAAGCAUCCUGGUUAAGAGCCUUUCCUGCAGUAUCUAUUACAUAACGCAAACAUUUAACUUCACGGAACAUUGCAUGGGUGUGCAGACUUUUAAUCAAAGCAAAAUUCAUUGAGUCUGUCUCGUUUUUUAUUGAAUGUAUUUGUUUUUUGUUUAAUGAUUUAAUAAAGCUGUGAACAUUUUGAAUGACACGUACAGUUCCUGUUUAGCGAUACAGAGUUGGCUUGCAAUAUUUUUAAUCAAACUCUUUUAUGAUUUUUAGAACAAUCUGAGUUGAGCUUGAACAGUUCCUGAGUUGGCACUGGAAGUUGCAGAGUAUUUCCUGCAUCAGAGAAUCUGUGGUGUCAUCUGCCACGCAACAGGAAGCGGUCGGGCUCAUUCACACGCAAUGUCUGUCUCUAAAUGAGGUUGCAUUGUUCGUCUCCACAUGGUAGCGUGCCUUGGGCACACGCAAGCCCAAAUCUACUGUAAGAACCUGCAAUAAAGGCACUUUAACAAAAUGCCUUGCCUGAUGGCAACAGACGUGAGGAAUGAACAUAAAGGUUUAGGAAGAGCAAGUCCUGUAGUCCUCGGUAGACCUUGAAUAUUUUGUGUAAGCAUGUUGUGGCCUGGGGCUCGGAUUACAGACUCAUCUUUGAGGAAAACCUAAAAUGGAAGGUGUGUUCAAAUAGGGAAUAGAUGACACUUGCUCCACAUGAAGCAAGUAAUGAGAUGAAGUUCUAAAAUCAAGCAAAUGCUUGUGAUCGUGCCUAAACGAGUUGUCUCCGGAUGGCGAAUUAAAGAUUGUAGUUCUGGUGAGGUCGGUCUUGAUCGUUACAUGGCAUCCAUCUUUAUUCAUGGAACGUUCAUGUUUUAUGUACUUAUACUUCCUCACAAACGUUGGGUACGUCUGUAACCGUUCGAGAAUUUGACAUUUUCUGAAGUUUCCGCACUUGAUUUUCAUCUUCCCCUGCUGCGCGGACAGGUUUGAGGCGGUUUUGCUGACUGUUUGUCUGCACGUCCUCUCUUUCUCUUUCUCGCAGGGCGUGGAGUUUAGAAAGUGCGCAUGCCUGUUCACUGUCUGAUGUGAUGCGCCGUGACAGGCCGAGACCUCGUUGGGCGCCACGUGCCCCUCUGCCCACGCCACAAGCCCCUCCCCGUCACGCCCCCCCUCCUCGCACAUCACUGGGCAAAAAUCUCACUAUGCCUAUCUCGGUGACGCUGGACGUGCAUUGGCGUCCAUUGGCUAACCGGUGACGCGUCACCAAAAUCGGCCUGUUUCUGAGCCCCGGAGACAAAAGGAUGAUAAGUUCAUUGGUGUGGAAUGUGGGUUAGGAGGGUCGUUAUUUGGGAUGAGAAUGGGGGCUCUAUUCCCUUUUAUUGUACUUUGAACCUCAAACUAAUUCUCACAAGGGUGCACAAGAUUAUAGACUGAGAGAAGUGGCCUUUAAUGGUGAAAAGUGAAGACGGGGUGACUUUCUAAAAGUUUGUGGAGGCCUUUAGGAAGGAAAGAUAAAAGAUUAUUCAGGAAUUGUUGGAAUUUGGUGCUGCAGGUGUGAACAAGAGAUACAAACAGGACUGUGAAGCUCAUUCUCAGAUGACUGACACUUUUAAUUUUCACACCCAGAGAUCAUAAUCUCCCAGAAGAGCAAUUAUAAGAAAUAUGCUCAGUUUGUGCGUGCCUGAUAAAUCUGUAUGUUGGUAGGAGAGUUUGUAGCUCCUGUAUGUAUCAUAGUGUGUUAAAUAUGACUGUAUUAUGAUGAUUUAUAUAGGUAUGGAUAUUUGAAAUGAUUUGACCGAAAAUGAAGCAUAUUAGCACUUUCCACAGACUGAUUAUUAGGUUGGUUUAUUUUCUGCCAAUAAGUACAGUGUGUUCCCGUUUCCAGCCUCGAGAGGCAUUCCCUCUCACUUGUGGACAUAUUUUAUAUUUUGCUGCUGUUUUGUGUUCAAUAAAGACGUCAAGACAU